CCUUUGUGAGAUGUUUGCUGUCUUGAGAACAUGAGUCUCACAGUAUUUAUCACUGAGAAGGCAAAAGAAUCUUUAAGCUUUCCUACCUGAUGAUGAGAGAGCAGCUGUACUGGUAAAAGCUUUUCAAUCUCCACUGUUUUCAACUGUUUCUCCUAAAGGAAAUACUGAAGAUUACAAACAAAGAACGUGGCUAUUAUAUCUUCUCCAGCAUUCCACUUCUCAGAAUGUUAUUUUAAUUUAAGUAUAUGAAUAAAAU